CUCAUGGAAGUUGGUCGGUCGGGCCAUAAGGAACAAAUAUUUGUCCUUCUGCUCAUCCACACUCCCUCAGAGAGGUGACUAAGGCCAAGAAUGUGAGACCCUCAGUGGCUAAGAACAGUUGGUGG
rnacentral:lncRNA from 14 species